GACGAACGCUGGCGGCGUGCUUAACACAUGCAAGUCGAACGGAAAGGCCUCUUUCGGGGGGUACUCGAGUGGCGAACGGGUGAGUAACACGUGAGUAACCUGCCCUUGACUUUGGGAUAACUUCAGGAAACUGGGUCUAAUACCGGAUAGGAGCUCCUGCUGCAUGGUGGGGGUUGGAAAGUUUCGGCGGUUGGGGAUGGACUCGCGGCUUAUCAGCUUGUUGGUGGGGUAGUGGCUUACCAAGGCUUUGACGGGUAGCCGGCCUGAGAGGGUGACCGGCCACAUUGGGACUGAGAUACGGCCCAGACUCCUACGGGAGGCAGCAGUGGGGAAUAUUGCACAAUGGGUGGAAGCCUGAUGCAGCAACGCCGUGUGCGGGAUGACGGCCUUCGGGUUGUAAACCGCUUUCGCUCAUGACGAAGCUUUGUGUGACGGCAGUGGGUAAAGAAGCACCGGCUAACUACGUG
rnacentral:rRNA from 1 species